rnacentral:rRNA from 1 species
AUUGAACGCUGGCGGCAUGCUUUACACAUGCAAGUCGAACGGCAGCGCGGGCUUCGGCCUGGCGGCGAGUGGCGAACGGGUGAGUAAUACAUCGGAACGUGCCCAGUAGUGGGGGAUAGCUCGGCGAAAGCCGGAUUAAUACCGCAUACGACCUGAGGGUGAAAGCGGGGGAUCUUCGGACCUCGCGCUAUUGGAGCGGCCGAUGGCAGAUUAGCUAGUUGGUGGGGUAAAGGCCUACCAAGGCGACGAUCUGUAGCUGGUCUGAGAGGACGACCAGCCACACGGGGACUGGGACAACGCCCAGGCUCCGACGGGAGGCAACAGUGGGGAAUUUUGGACAAUGGGCGAAAGCCUGAUCCAGCAAUGCCGCGUGUGUGAUGAAGGCCUUCGGGUUGUAAAGCACUUUUGGCGGGAACGAAAAGGACUUGGCCAAUACCACGGUUCGAUGACGGUACCCGCAGAAUAAGCACCGGCUAACUACGUG